rnacentral:misc_RNA from 1 species
AACCAUAGAAACCUGCGGAGUACCUGCGGAAGGAUCAUUACAGAGUUGCAAAACUCCCACAAACCAUCGCGAAUCUUACCCGUACGGUUGCCUCGGCGCUGGCGGUCCGGAAGGCCCUCGGGCCCCCGGACCCUCGGGUCCCCCGCUCGCGGGGGGCUGCCCGCCGGAGUGCCGAAACCAAACUCUUGAUAUUUUAUGUCUCUCUGAGUAAACUUUUAAAUAAGUCGAAACUUUUAGCAA